rnacentral:rRNA from 1 species
GACGAACGCUGGCGGCGUGCUUAACACAUGCAAGUCGAACGAAGAGCGAUGGAGGCUUGCUUCUAUCAAUCUUAGUGGCGAACGGGUGAGUAACGCGGAAUCAACCUGCCCUUCAGAGGGGGACAACCGUUGGAAACGACUGCUAAUACCGCAUACUAUCUAAUCUCGGCAUCGAGGAUAGAUGAACGGUGGCCUCUACAUGUAUGCUUUGACUGAAGGAGGGGAUUGCGUCUGAUUAGCUAGUUGGUGGGGUAACGGCCCAACAAAGCGAGGAUCAGUAGGCGGUCUGGGGGGGUGGACGGCCACAUUGGGACUGGGACACGGCUCAAGCUUCUUCGGGGGGCCGCAGUGGGGAAACCUCCGGAAUGGAGGGAAGUCUGAAGGAGGCACGCCGCGUGAGGGAAUACGGCCUUCGGGUCGUAAAGCUCUGUUAAUCGGGACGAAAGGCCUUCUUGCGAAUAGUGAGAAGGAUUGACGGUACCGGAACAGAAAGCCACGGCUAACUACGUG